rnacentral:rRNA from 1 species
AAUUUUUCUCAAUGGGCGAAAGCCUGACGGAGCAAUACCGCGUGAGGGAGGAAGGCCCUUGGGUUGUAAACCUCUUUUCUCAAGGAAGAAAAAAAUGACGGUACUUGAGGAAUAAGCAUCGGCUAACUCCGUGCCAGCAGCCGCGGUAAUACGGAGGAUGCAAGCGUUAUCCGGAAUUAUUGGGCGUAAAGCGUCCGCAGGUGAUUUCACAAGUCUGCCGUUAAAGACCAGGGCUUAACCUUGGAGCGGCGGUGGAAACUGUGAGACUAGAGUGUGGUAGGGGCAGAGGGAAUUCCAGGUGUAGCGGUGAAAUGCGUAGAUAUCUGGAAGAACACCAGUGGCGAAGGCGCUCUGCUGGGCCAUAACUGACG